UAUCAUCUUCAGUGAGCUCUCUCUCUCUCUCUCUCUCUCUCCGUGUGAAAAUGGACUCAUACGAAGCUACGAGGCUCGUCUUCUCGAGGAUCCAGAGCUUGGACCCGGACAACGCCUCCAAGAUCAUGGGCUACAUACUACUCCAAGACCACGGCGACAAAGAAAUGACCAGACUAGCCCUUGCCCCCGAUCCCCUCCUCCGCACCCUCAUCCUCAAGGCCAAGUCCCACUUGUCCCUCUCCCUCUCUGCGACCUCGUCUUCAACCUCCGCGACACCCUCUCCUCCUUCCUCCGCCGCUCUCAAUCUCAACCCCAUUUCACGAAGACCCAUCACCCACCACCACUCUCUCUCCAUCCCUUCUCCGAGAACCACCCCGUCCUACGCCAAUGUCGUCAAUGGGGUCACUCGCGACACCACCCCCAACAUCCCCAGCGACCCCGUUGACGAUUACCCGCUCCAGGACCACCUCUCCUUCUUGAACGACCCCAAAAGCGACGACCUUUACGACCCGAGACUCGAGUUUGUUCCGAACGGUGACUCUGGCUUGUCGCACAGAAGAAGCUACUCGAUACCCGGAAUGCGUCUUGGGUCUAAUGCAGCUAGCGAAGAACCGGGUCUUCCCGGUUUCGGGUGGAGGCCGUGCCUGUACUUCGCGAGGGGGUUCUGCAAGAACGGCACUAGCUGCAGGUUCCUCCACGGCGACUCGGGGGACUGCACAGACGCCUCGGCGGCGGUCAAUGUCGGGUCGCCGGUCAAGUUUGGCGAGCUCGAGCAGUUCGGCCCCGACUUCGCAAGAUCGAAGGCCACGGCCGCGGUGGCGCAGCAGCAGAGGUUGAAGCUCUUGGCCAGUGCUUCGGCUUCGUCCUUGCCUUACAACAGUUGCGUGGACUUGUUUCUGCAGCAGCAGAACGACACCCAGAGAUCGACUGCUCCAGAGUUGAUGCUGAGGGACGAGUUGCACAAAUUCGGGCGCAUUCAGUCAGAAAGGAGCGAUUUUUCGGGACUAGGAUCGGGAGGAGCGAGUAGCCCUGGGUCGAGGCAAAUUUACUUGACAUUUCCUGCUGAUAGCACUUUCAGAGAGGAGGAUGUUUCACAUUACUUCAGCAAUUAUGGACCGGUACAAGAUGUGAGAAUUCCUUACCAGCAGAAGAGAAUGUUUGGAUUCGUUACUUUUGUAUAUCCAGAGACCGUGAAGCUCAUACUGGCCAAAGGAAACCCUCACUUUGUUUGUGAUUCACGGGUGCUGGUUAAACCUUACAAGGAGAAAGGCAAAAUUGCAGAUAGGAAACAACAACAGUUCAUGGAUAGGGGUGAAUACUCAGCGUGCUUGAGUCCAACCGGGUUUGAAUCGAGGGACCCUUUUGAUCUCCCCUUUGGUUCGAGAAUGGGUUACAAUGCUCAGGAGAUUUUGCUUAGGAGGAAGUUGGAGGAACAAGCCGAUCUGCAUCAGGCAAUCGAGCUUCAAGGGAGAAGACUCGUGAAUUUGCAGCUUUUGGACUUGAAGAAUCGCUACCGGCAAUACCCUCAUAAUUUAUCAACCAGCUCCCCUAUUUCCUCACCGGUAUUUCCUCGCUCUCCCAAUGUUCAAUCACUCAAUCUUCCGCCUAAUGCCAUCAACCAAGAAGUUGCCAGAGCGGCAUUUGUUGAUGGUUCGGCGUGGAUGAAUUCCGAAUCAGCAGAGAGUGAAAACCUGGUAUUGCAGGGUGUGGAUGGAGCUUGGGUUGAGAAAGAAUCCACUGGCAAGAGAAAAGAGGAGAGCUCUGUUCCUGGAGAGUAUGAUCACCAUGCUAGCUUAGAGCACAUCCUCCCAGAUAACCUCUUUGCCUCUCCCAAGAAAUCAAGGCCUGAGAAUCUCACUGCCUUCAACACUUCUCUUGCUGAUGAUGAGUGUGAUGAUAGUAUGACAAGUUUGAUCACUUCAUCUGCUUCUGCUCCAACCAAUGAGCCCUUGCUGACCACCUCAUCAGCUCUCAAUAUUGCUACUCUCAAAUCAUGUUUGUUUCACGUGCCCAGUUUCUCUUCUGGGCAUGGAGCAAUUGGAAUGUAGUUUGAGCACGUGUUAGCAUGGACAGCCGUAGAGAUAUUUCCUUACUUAGGUAGGGAUGUUUCAGAAGAAUGAGCAGUAAAGAAAGAAAGAUCCUCCUCUAGCUGCUGUAUAGACCA